UGGGGAAUUUUGGACAAUGGGGGAAACCCUGAUCCAGCCAUCCCGCGUGUGCGAUGAAGGCCUUCGGGUUGUAAAGCACUUUUGGCAGGAAAGAAACGUCAUGGGUUAAUACCCCGUGAAACUGACGGUACCUGCAGAAUAAGCACCGGCUAACUACGUGCCAGCAGCCGCGGUAAUACGUAGGGUGCAAGCGUUAAUCGGAAUUACUGGGCGUAAAGCGUGCGCAGGCGGUUCGGAAAGAAAGAUGUGAAAUCCCAGAGCUCAACUUUGGAACUGCAUUUUUAACUACCGGGCUAGAGUGUGUCAGAGGGGGGUGGAAUUCCGCGUGUAGCAGUGAAAUGCGUAGAUAUGCGGAGGAACACCGAUGGCGAAGGCAGCCUCAUGGGAUAACACUGACGCUCAUGCACGAAAGCGUGGGGAGCAAACAGG
rnacentral:rRNA from 1 species